UACGGAGGAUGCGAGCGUUAUCCGGAUUUAUUGGGUUUAAAGGGUGCGUAGGCGGUUUUUUAAGUUAGUGGUUAAACGUCGGGGCUUCACCUUGAUUUGCCAUUAAUACUGUAAGACUCGAGUUCAGACGAGGUAGGCGGAAUGCGUGGUGUAGCGGUGAAAUGCAUAGAUAUCACGCAGAACUCCGAUUGCGAAGGCAGCUUACUAAGCCAUAACUGACACUGAAGCACGAAAGCGUGGGGAUCAAACAGG
rnacentral:rRNA from 1 species